rnacentral:rRNA from 1 species
UACAGAGGUCUCAAGCGUUGUUCGGAUUCAUUGGGCGUAAAGGGUGCGUAGGCGGCGCGGUAAGUUGGGUGUGAAAUCUCGGAGCUUAACUCCGAAACUGCAUUCGAUACUGCCGUGCUUGAGGACUGGAGAGGAGACUGGAAUUUACGGUGUAGCGGUGAAAUGCGUAGAUAUCGUAAGGAAGACCAGUGGCGAAGGCGGGUCUCUGGGCAACAACUGACGCUGAGGAGCGAAAGCGUGGGGAGCGAACAGG